rfam:Taphrina deformans PYCC 5710 genomic scaffold, scaffold00197
UCUUUGAUGGUCCAACGGUCAAGAUUCCCGCUUGUCAUUCGAUGAGCACGAUGUUCAGAGCAUCACGCGGGCGACCGGGGUUCGACUCCCCGUCAGAGAG